rnacentral:rRNA from 1 species
UACAGAGGUCUCAAGCGUUGUUCGGAUUCAUUGGGCGUAAAGGGUGCGUAGGCGGCGCGGUAAGUCGGUGUGAAAUCUCGGGGCUUAACUCCGAAACUGCAUUCGAUACUGCCGGUGCUUGAGGACUGGAGAGGAGACUGGAAAUUACGGUGUAGCGGUGAAAUGCGUAGAUAUCGUAAGGAAGACCAGUGGCGAAGGCGGGUCUC